rnacentral:rRNA from 1 species
AGCGAACGCUGGCGGCAGGCCUAACACAUGCAAGUCGAACGAAGUCUUCGGACUUAGUGGCAGACGGGUGAGUAACACGUGGGAACGUACCUUUUGGUUCGGAACAACUCAGGGAAACUUGAGCUAAUACCGGAUGAGCCCUUAGGGGGAAAGAUUUAUCGCCGAAAGAGCGGCCCGCGUUAGAUUAGCUAGUUGGUGAGGUAAAGGCUCACCAAGGCUACGAUCUAUAGCUGGUCUGAGAGGAUGAUCAGCCACACUGGGACUGAGACACGGCCCAGACUCCGACGGGAGGCAGCAGUGGGGAAUCUUGCGCAAUGGGCGAAAGCCUGACGCAGCCAUGCCGCGUGAAUGAUGAAGGUCUUAGGAUUGUAAAAUUCUUUUACCAGGGACGAUAAUGACGGUACCUGGAGAAAAAGCCCCGGCUAACUUCGUGCCAGCCGCCGCAGUAAUAC